rnacentral:siRNA from 1 species
CAGGUAUCGACAAUGAUCCUU